AUACGUAGGGGGCGAGCGUUAUCCGGAAUUAUUGGGCGUAAAGAGUACGUAGGUGGUUUCCUAAGCAUGGGGUUUAAGGCAACGGCUUAACCAUUGUUCGCCCCAUGAACUGGGUUACUUGAGUGCAGGAGAGGAAAGUGGAAUUCCUAGUGUAGCGGUGAAAUGCGUAGAUAUUAGGAGGAACACCAGUAGCGAAGGCGGCUUUCUGGACUGUAACUGACACUGAGGCACGAAAGCGUGGGGAGC
rnacentral:rRNA from 1 species